rnacentral:tRNA from 1 species
GCCCAAGUAGCUCAGUAGGUUAGAGUACGUCCUUGGUAAGGACGAGGUCGGCGGUUCGAAUCCGCUCUUGGGCU